rnacentral:rRNA from 1 species
UACGGUAGGGUGCGAGCGUUUGUCCGGAAUUAUUGGGCGUAAAGAGCUCGUAGGCGGUUUGUUGCGUCUAUCGUGAAAACCUGCAGCUUAACUGUGGGCUUGCGGUGGAUACGGGCAGACUUGAGUUCGGUAGGGGAGACUGGAAUUCCUGGUGUAGCGGUGAAAUGCGCAGAUAUCAGGAGGAACACCGGUGGCGAAGGCGGGUCUCUGGGCCGAUACUGACGCUGAGGAGCGAAAGCGUGGGGAGCGAACAGG